ACAAUAGAACUAAAAAAGCUCACUCCCCAGUUGAAUGAAAAAAAUAAAACAAUCCUAAAUCGCUGCUGAGAAAAUCUAAUACGUUGUUGCAUCAAGGCAGUGCGAUUUACAGUGCGUCAACGGCGCGCGAGUGCGUCAAUGGCAGCCCACAUUUUUCCCAGUGUGUCAACGACAGUGCGAGUGCAUCAAUAGCAGCCCAUCUUUUUCCCAGUAGAUUUUGUAUUGAUGUCGGUCGAUUGAUUUACAAUAAACCAGUUCCUAACUCGCUGUUCAACAGCCUGACGUAAUGCCCGUCCAUCUUCUUCCCCUAUUUGGGCCACUCGGAGUUGGAUACUUGUGGCGAGGGCAUCGUUUCUUAGUGAUUUUUGUACCGGUUCGAGAUCCAGGUACUUCUGAGCAGGCGUACCGCUAGUAGCUGUUAGGGAGCAUAUUGGAGACUUGAGAUGGUGAGGACACGCACGACCCAGGACGAUCAGGCACCCGCACCCCCUCCUGUAGCCGCUAGAGGUAGGGGCCGGGGCAGGGGUCGUGGACGUGCGCGGGGUGCAGCCAGAGCACCUGCGUGAGCCGCCACCGAGGUACCACCAGCGGAUCUAGCCAAGACUCAGGCACCUAACACGCCCACAGUCACCACUACUCCAGCUGUUCAGGAGAUCCAGGUACUUCUGAGCAGGCGUGCCGCCAGUAGCUUUCAGGGAGCAUAUUGGAGACUUGAGGUAUACAUCUGCUACGUCCGCAGAUCCGCAAAGUCUCCUUCUCAUUCUAUCCAUAGAUAUUAGCUGUCAUUUUGAUCCCUUUUGUAUUAGACUACUCUGGUGACUAGAGCAGUGUAUGAUUUCUUAUGGCCUGUGUUGCCCGUGGGUUUCCGGGUCUUGGUGGUUAUUCAGUAUUCUGUAUUAAAGUGUAUGUGCCAGGCGGCAAACCUAUACAUUUCCUUUAUGUUAUUCGGCAUUCUACUA